CUGCAGGAAGAUCUGGGCAGGGCACCAACGGCAUUUGCUGUGGUACAACUCACCCUCCUUAUACCACUUCCCUUAUCACGAUGUGUGAAUCCAGGCACAGGGUUGCCAGACCCUUUGAUUUUUCACGGAAGACAGGAAUCUGAAAUUUUAUAUGACAUCUUCCAAGUUUUGAUUUGUGGCAAUCAAUUUACAGUAAAAAGAGAUCACAAAGACCACUUGUGUGUGUAUUGGACUUAGCGGGUCAUGGGUUUGAAUUCCGGCCAAUGAAUUUGUCAAAGGUCAGUCACUCACUGCUUACUGGCCCCUAAGUAAUUCAUUUAUCAAAUGUUGGCCCUAGGCCAAGGAGUCUCAUACAAAGGCAGGUGACAAGAAAUGUUUUUGCCUGAAACAGAGGAAGCCUACAACUUCUGUGUUCUGGGUUUUGUGGUAUGUUGGUCAUUAUCCUGAAUGGUUUUCACA
rnacentral:lncRNA from 1 species